rnacentral:rRNA from 1 species
AGAGUUUGAUCCUGGCUCAGAACGAACGCUGGCGGCAGGCCUAACACAUGCAAGUCGAGCGAUCCUUCGGGAUAGCGGCGGACGGGUGAGUAACGCGUGGGAACGUGCCCUUCGGUUCGGAAUAGCCCCGGGAAACUGGGAUUAACGCCGGAUACGCCCUUUUGGGGAACGAGGGAUCGGCCCGCGUCCGAUUAGGUAGUUGGUGGGGUAACGGCCUACCAAGCCGACGAUCGGUACCUGGUUUGAGAGGAUGAUCAGGCACACUGGGACUGAGACACGGCCCAGACUCCUACGGGAGGCAGCAGUGGGGAAUCUUGGACAAUGGGGGCAACCCUGAUCCAGCCAUGCCGCGUGAGCGAUGAAGGCCUUAGGGUUGUAAAGCUCUUUCGCCGGUGAAGAUAAUGACGGUAGCCGGAGAAGAAGCCCCGGCUAACUCCGUGCCAGCAGCCGCGGUAAUACGGAGGGGGCUAGCGUUGUUCGGAAUUACUGGGCGUAAAGCGCGCGUAGGCGGAUGAUCAAGUCGGGGGUGAAAUCCCGGGGCUCAACCCCGGAACUGCCUUCGAUACUGGUCGUCUGGAGGACGGAAGAGGCGAGUGGAAUACCGAGUGUAGAGGUGAAAUUC